CACCCGCAAAACGGAUUAAAAGAGCAAAGAACACACGUGUUGCUGUAAGAGGCUGUAAGACGUUUACACAAUUCUGAAAACAACGCUAUGAAGCUGGAUCCAAAACAAAGUAUCAAUUCUCCACAUAACCUUGCAGUUACGACAUACAUGUUGGAGCAGGUCGGCAUUGCUUUUCCUGACACAGACA